ACAAACCAACCUGGACUCCCCAAGGGGCUCAGGGUGAGCUGUGCUUUUCUUUUGUUGGAGAGUUUUUCCUAUUUGCAUGUGGAGGGAGAAGUGGCAUUGGUUCAAUAUGGUCUGUCUCAGGUGACUUUCAGACAGUAGGGUUCAGUGUGGAGCUUUGCUGAAUCCUGCCCUGUUGGAGUCCUACUGAUGGGACUGGGAGUGGUAUUGCUGUUCUCUCCCUGUUCUAUUUGUUACUGGCAAAGUCUUACUUGCUGGGGUAGUAACAGAAACUUGCUGCCUGGAGACUGACAGGCUUGAAUGCUGGUUCUGCUGCCUGAUAGCUAUGUGGCUUUGAGAAGGCAAUGUGAACCUUCCUGAACCUCAGACCUUUUUUUUUUUUUUUUUUUUUUGAGACAGUCUCGCUCUAUCACCCACAAGGCAGUGGAGAUUCAGAGACCAAGGAACCCCAGAGCUGUGUAAUGGAUCAGACCUAGUGAGAGAGGAGAAGAUCACAGAUUAAAUGAUCUGUCUGUGCCAGAAACGCAAAUGUGGUUCUAACAGUAUUAAUUCCAUGUUAGAGAAAAGCUUGCUUGUUUGAAUAAUAUUAUUGUUUUCCUUGAGUUUGUACAUUAGUCCCAAAAAACAGCCUCAAGAAAACAGGACCUUCAACAGAGAUAAAAGAAAAUAUGCUGGCUGGGCUCGGUGGCUCACGCCUGUAAUCCCAGUAAUUUGAGAGGCCGAGGUGGGAUCACUUGAGGCCAGGAGUUCGAGACCAGCCUGGCCAAUAUGGUGAAACCCUGUCUCUACUAAAAAUACAAAAAUUAGCCGGGUGUGGUGGCCUGUGCCUGUAAUCCCAGCUACUUGGGCAGCUGAGGCAGAAGAAGCACUUGAACUGGGGAGGCAGAGGUUGCAGUGAGCCAAGAUUUCAACACUAUACUCCAGCCUGGGCAACAGAGCAAGAUUCUGCCUCAAAAAAACAAAAAAAAAAGAAAGAAAAGAAAAAAAGAAAGAAGGAAAAUAUGCUGACCAACAGCUCUGGGAAUGGGCUGACUAGCCUGUAAGAAUAGGCUGAUGGCACCUGCAGAAGGUCGCAAAACUUUCACCAAGAAAGCAAUGAUUAACUGCCCAGCUGACUGAAACUGCUCACAUUUCACAAGACUGUUUUGAUCUUCAUUUCUCUUAAUUUCCCUUAGAAAUCCUUUACCUAGAGGCACAAUUCUGAAAGGUGGCCUUUCAACCCAGUUCACUGCCUUCCCCUGGUUGCUGACUUCUCAAAUAAAGCUAACGUUCCUUUUACCAAAGUUCCUGAGUUGUUUGGCUUUUAAGCAGUAAGUGACCCAGACCUGAGUUCCAUUUAUAGGGCUAGACUUAGAGCCAGAGCAUCUGAAGUUAGAACUUUUAUCUCAACAUCCAUUGACAGCUGGUGGCUUGCUUGGUUAUAUUAAUGUCUGUUAACCAUAAGUGUCACUGAAAAUUCCAGUGGAGUCUCAUCAGGCUCCCUGUAGUCAUAGAAGACAGUCAAGAAUCUUUACAUUAAGAUUCCAGGGCAGGCCAGGUGUGGUGGCUCACACCAGAAAUCCCAGCCCUUUGGGAGGCUAUGGUGGGAAGAUUGCUUGAGGCCAGGAGUUCAAGACCAGCAUAGGCAACAUAGUGAGACUCUGUAUCAAAAAAGAAAAAAAGGAAAAAAAGGGAUUAAACAAAUAAAUAAGUAAAUUGGCCAGGCACAGCGGCGCACAUCUGUAGUCCUAGUUGCUCAAAAGGCUGAGGCAGGAGGAUGGCUUGAGCCCAGAAGUUUGAGGUUACUGUAAGCUAUGACCGUGCUACUGCACUCCAGGUUGGGCAACUGAGUGAGAACGUGUCUCAAAAAAAAAAAAAAAAAGACUCCAAGGCUUUAAGAAAAUUAAAGGGUGUUUUUUUCCUCAGAGGUUACUGUCUUAUAACUACUCUUAUGAACUACUAAAUACAGACAGAAACUAUUUAUUUUAGAGAGAGAGAAUUGCAAUGCAGAGAUGUAAAGUUUAACUGUAAAUAUAUUUGUGCUUGUUUAUGACAAUGAUUAAUUUAAGAUAAGAUUUGUAGUAAAUUUUACUAAUCCUUGAGUAUGGGGACCAUAUUUGUUCUGCUUAUAAGGGUAGUCCCAGUGCCCAGCACAGUGCCUGGCAUAUAUUGUACACACAAUAAACCUUUGUUGCAUGAGCAAAGGCGUAAUAGUUCUAGCACCAGCUUGGUAAUGUUUCUUUAAGAGGAAUGUAUAUAAUUUCCUAUUACAUAUCAUUGUGCUUCUGGUAAGUAAUUUUGAAGAUAACUACUUUCCUCUCCUGAUGCUUGUAAAUACUAGAUAAGAUGUUUUGAUUCAGUAUGAGACCAUACUAUAUGCACACAACUAAGGUCAUCACUUGACUCAGCCAGGAUCUGGAAUUGUGCAUCUGACUUGACUUGGAAUGAAUGACAUCUCCCAGGGCAGGUGAUUGGAAUGACUGGAAUUUUCCAGAGCAGAUUUGUAGCCAAUAGGCAAAAGUAACAGAGACUGUUGCAGUUUCUCUGAUAAAUAACUGAUCACAGACCAGUUCAGGGACUUUUCAGCAUAAUAGACAUUAUUCCGAAUUCCACUGUUGUAUUUUUAUUUUCAUAUAAGCAGAAACAAAAACUUUUUUAUUUUUAAUUUGAGAAAUUUAACCUGUAGCAUCAAAUUAUAUAUAUUUCCCCAGCAGCAUGUGUUUUGGUCUUGUUAUUUUUCAGAAUAAUGUAACUUGACUGUCCAACUUAAAAGCAAGAGAAGUUCAAGGAUGAGCAGGUAUGUGACCUAGUUCAACCAGCGCCAGCCAAGAAAUUGCCAGAUGCUUCAGAAGGAGGUGCUGGUCCUCACUCUUGGCCCUCUCGCUUAUUUCCUUCUGGCCAGCACUGAAUCUAUGGAGGCAAAAACCCUUGCAGAAGAAAGAGAAGCUGGAGGGAAACUGAUUGCCUCAAAGCCCAUUGCUUCCCAGAGCACAAGCCAGGGACCACCAGCCUCAGAGUCUCCAGGAGUUUGUUCAACUCAUUGAUUCCUGGAGCCCAUUCCAGACCUACUGAGUCAGAAUCUCUGGGAGUGGUAUCGUGGGAUCCAAAUUUUUAGCAAUAUUGAUUUUAACAAUAUGUAAUGCACCCUGAAGUUUGAGAACAUGUACUUUUUCUUACAGGUGAUUUUAUGUAGAGAAUUCAACUGACAAGAAGGUCCCUCGUGCCCUUAACCUUGUCCCCACCCCUUUGGGGCCCUCAGUGCUUUACUUACCAGUCCUCUCUGCCCUCAGGCAGGAGCAGGUGCUCCGGCUUUGGACUCAGGGAAUCUGCCAAACAUUUUCCGCCAUCCCUGAACUUCCUGUUCUUCCCAGAAACCUUGGCACAGGCAAAGGACAGUCAGAGAGUGGCGGAGGCAUAUGCCCAGUUGGAAGAACUUGGAAGCAGACCCCAUGUGCAGACUCUGAGUCAGCCCUCUCUGCUGGGGAAAGCAGCAGGAAGUUCAGUGAGUCAGCGCUGCCGGUGACAGCGGGUGCCGGCCUGGGGCAGCCAGGAAGACAGGCCUCCGAAGCGUCUCUCCUGGCUUAGAGGAUAGUGGCUUGGAACCUUUGCCCUGCCGCCUAACACACAAUGCUUGCGUAUAGUAUGGUCUUAUACUGAAUCAAAACAUCUUAUCCAGUAUUUACAAGCACCAAGAGAAGAAAGUAGUUAUCUUCAAAAUUACUUACCAGAAGCACAAUAUAUUCCUGUGGGGACAAGAUGUACCUACUACCUCUUUUCUGCCUUUUGAGAAAAUACUUAGGAAUUAAUGAGAGCAACUGGGACCUUUUCACUGAGAUAAUCAGUGAUUGUGUCACAGGACCCUUGGAAAGGCUUUCACCUCAUCACAGCUCCUCUGUCAAUUCUCUUCUCCCUUCAUCCGCUUCAGACAAACCAACCAAA
rnacentral:lncRNA from 1 species